rnacentral:lncRNA from 1 species
UAUUUUCAAUUAGUUUGCACUCUCACUAGCUGCUGUCCUGAAUAAUUAGGAAAACGAUUCACAUGCUGCCAGGAGCCGAUCUGAAGUGUUAUCUCUGGGAUAAUUAUCUGUCUGCAGUUCAGUCUCCCCUGCUCCUCCCAGGUCAGCCCGGCCGCAGGAGGACACCCAGAGAGCAUUAAUGAGCUCUCAUUGAAGAUGUUAAAAAGCUUGUAUUGAUCUGUUUGUCCAAGAAGGAGAUAUUUAAGCCU